UGGGGAAUAUUGGACAAUGGGCGAAAGCCUGAUCCAGCCAUGCCGCGUGUGUGAAGAAGGUCUUCGGAUUGUAAAGCACUUUAAGUUGGGAGGAAGGGCAUUAACCUAAUACGUUAGUGUUUUGACGUUACCGACAGAAUAAGCACCGGCUAACUCUGUGCCAGCAGCCGCGGUAAUACAGAGGGAGCAAGCGUUAAUCGGAAUUACUGGGCGUAAAGCGCGCGUAGGUGGUUUGUUAAGUUGGAUGUGAAAGCCCCGGGCUCAACCUGGGAACUGCAUUCAAAACUGACUGACUAGAGUAUGGUAGAGGGUGGUGGAAUUUCCUGUGUAGCGGUGAAAUGCGUAGAUAUAGGAAGGAACACCAGUGGCGAAGGCGACCACCUGGACUAAUACUGACACUGAGGUGCGAAAGCGUGGGGAGCAAACA
rnacentral:rRNA from 1 species